rnacentral:rRNA from 1 species
CGGGGAUGGGGUCACGAUGGUCCGGAAUUACUGGGCGUAAAGCGCGUGUAGGCGGAUAAUUAAGUCAGAUGUGAAAGACCGGGGCCCAACUUCGGGGUUGCAUCUGAAACUGGUUAUCUUGAGGGCAGGAGAGGAAAGUGGAAUUCCUGGUGUAGCGGUGAAAUGCGUAGAUAUCAGGAGGAACACCAGUGGCGAAGGCGGCUUUCUGGACUGACCCUGACGAUGAGACGCGAAAGCAUGGGGAGCAAACAGG